rnacentral:rRNA from 1 species
AGUGAACGCUGGCGGUAGGCCUAACACAUGCAAGUCGAACGGCAGCACAGUAGGAGCUUGCUCUUACGGGUGGCGAGUGGCGGACGGGUGAGGAAUACAUCGGAAUCUACCUUUUCGUGGGGGAUAACGUAGGGAAACUUACGCUAAUACCGCAUACGACCUACGGGUGAAAGCAGGGGAUCUUCGGACCUUGCGCGAUUGAAUGAGCCGAUGUCGGAUUAGCUAGUUGGCGGGGUAAAGGCCCACCAAGGCGACGAUCCGUAGCUGGUCUGAGAGGAUGAUCAGCCACACUGGAACUGAGACACGGUCCAGACUCCUACGGGGGGCAGCAGUGGGGAAUAUUGGACAAUGGGCGCAAGCCUGAUCCAGCCAUACCGCGUGGGUGAAGAAGGCCUUCGGGUUGUAAAGCCCUUUUGUUGGGAAAGAAAAGCAGCAGGUUAAUACCCCGCUGUUCUGACGGUACCCAAAGAAUAAGCACCGGCUAACUUCGUG